rnacentral:rRNA from 1 species
GAUUGAACGCUGGCGGCAGGCCUAACACAUGCAAGUCGAACGGUAACAGGAAGCAGCUUGCUGCUUCGCUGACGAGUGGCGGACGGGUGAGUAAUGUCUGGGAAACUGCCUGAUGGAGGGGGAUAACUACUGGAAACGGUAGCUAAUACCGCAUAACGUCGCAAGACCAAAGAGGGGGACCUUCGGGCCUCUUGCCAUCGGAUGUGCCCAGAUGGGAUUAGCUAGUAGGUGGGGUAACGGCUCACCUAGGCGACGAUCCCUAGCUGGUCUGAGAGGAUGACCAGCCACACUGGAACUGAGACACGGUCCAGACUCCUACGGGAGGCAGCAGUGGGGAAUAUUGCACAAUGGGCGCAAGCCUGAUGCAGCCAUGCCGCGUGUAUGAAGAAGGCCUUCGGGUUGUAAAGUACUUUCAGCGGGGAGGAAGGCGAUAAGGUUAAUAACCUUGUCGAUUGACGUUACCCGCAGAAGAAGCACCGGCUAACUCCGUGCCAGCAGCCGCGGUAAUACGGAGGGUGCAAGCGUUAAUCGGAAUUACUGGGCGUAAAGCGCACGCAGGCGGUCUGUCAAGUCGGAUGUGAAAUCCCCGGGCUCAACCUGGGAACUGCAUUCGAAACUGGCAGGCUAGAGUCUUGUAGAGGGGGGUAGAAUUCCAGGUGUAGCGGUGAAAUGCGUAGAGAUCUGGAGGAAUACCGGUGGCGAAGGCGGCCCCCUGGACAAAGACUGACGCUCAGGUGCGAAAGCGUGGGGAGCAAACAGGAUUAGAUACCCUGGUAGUCCACGCCGUAAACGAUGUCGACUUGGAGGUUGUGCCCUUGAGGCGUGGCUUCCGGAGCUAACGCGUUAAGUCGACCGCCUGGGGAGUACGGCCGCAAGGUUAAAACUCAAAUGAAUUGACGGGGGCCCGCACAAGCGGUGGAGCAUGUGGUUUAAUUCGAUGCAACGCGAAGAACCUUACCUACUCUUGACAUCCAGAGAACUUAGCAGAGAUGCUUUGGUGCCUUCGGGAACUCUGAGACAGGUGCUGCAUGGCUGUCGUCAGCUCGUGUUGUGAAAUGUUGGGUUAAGUCCCGCAACGAGCGCAACCCUUAUCCUUUGUUGCCAGCGGUUAGGCCGGGAACUCAAAGGAGACUGCCAGUGAUAAACUGGAGGAAGGUGGGAAUGACGUCAAGUCAUCAUGGCCCUUACGAGUAGGGCUACACACGUGCUACAAUGGCGCAUACAAAGAGAAGCGACCUCGCGAGAGCAAGCGGACCUCAUAAAGUGCGUCGUAGUCCGGAUUGGAGUCUGCAACUCGACUCCAUGAAGUCGGAAUCGCUAGUAAUCGUGGAUCAGAAUGCCACGGUGAAUACGUUCCCGGGCCUUGUACACACCGC